AUCACUGAAUGGGGUCCCAAAAGUUCGAACGGUCGGGACUUGCAACAAAAUGCAAGGAGUGACCACUGAAAACUUUGGCUGGCCCUAAACCUCACAUGGAACCCUACCCACAGCACCACCAACAUCGGCCUACGGGUUUGCGUUUUACCAGAAACCUUGAAUAUACCAGCCCGAAGCAGCCUUUUUCUUCUAUGGCUGAUUGGGGUUCAAGAAGUCCAAAUGGUGGGACGGGCC